AACGAACGCUGGCGGCGUGCCUAACACAUGCAAGUCGUGCGAGAAAGUUCCUUCGGGAGCGAGUAAAGCGGCGCACGGGUGAGUAACACGUAGGUAACCUGCCCCCCAGUCUGGAACAACUAGAGGAACUCUAGCUAAUGCCGGAUGAGACCACGAUCCCUUCGGGGGUUGCGGCCAAAGAUGGCCUCUACUUGUAAGCUAUCGCUGAGGGAUGGGCCUGCGGCCAUUAGCUUGUUGGUGAGGUAACGGCUCACCAAGGCUGUGAUGGCUAGCUGGUCUGAGAGGAUGACCAGCCACACUGGGACUGAGACACGGCCCAGA
rnacentral:rRNA from 1 species